ACUUCAAAUUCCUUACAGCUGUUUAUCAAGGAUCCAUAGUACAUGUAUACCCCGCCGCCCCGCCGUCUCUCUCCCUCGUUUGUUUGCUUCACUCCCUCACGAAAAAGCCCUCUCUCUUCUUGGGUCGUCUCUUCCCUGUUUCCAUUCGUGGAGAUCGAAGUCGCAAGGAUUGAAGAGACCAGGGUUCUUUGAGAGCUCUAUCUUCUGUAGUAGCUUAUUGGUUUGAAAGAGUUCUCAUUGAAGAGGUAUGGCUUGAAAUCCCUAAAACCCUGAUUUUUAUUAGUACGAAAUUGUGAUUUUGGAGACCAUCAUAUAAAUUUUCCCUGAGUUGUUGUUUAUGCGGUUUUCUCUUUUUAGUAUUUUCUAUGCACAUACAUACCAGCAAGCUUUUCUAUUGAUUUAUCUAUUUUGCUGUGAAAAGAUUGCAAAAUUCAAUUGGGUCAAACUUUUUAACCUUUAAAAACCCUCAAAUAGAGGGCUUAAUGUUCUUGAUUUCAAAUGGGGUUUGAAUUUUUCUUGAUUUCAAAUGAAUCGCUCCAAAUGCAAUUCGGAUUUUUCGAAAUGCAUGUAUAUAACUACAAUCUCAAUGCACAAAAAUACACUUUCGGUAACCCAACUGGCACAACUCUUCAUUUGUUCCUAAUUUUCUCAUAGAUUUUCUCUCUCCUCUGUCAUAUGUGUCUCUUCCUUUCUCAUAUCAUCAUUAUCGUUUUACUUCUUUUUGGUUUUGUGUGUAUUUUGUUGAAUAUCAUUAGAACUAGCUACAGUAGUUCCAUUGAUGUGUAGUUGUUCCAGUGAUGUGUGGAAGUGCUUAGCUUUUGCAAUUUGUUUUAUAGAACAUAGUGUGUCGAAGUUUUGUGACUAUUGCUUGGUAGUGUGUCCAUUGCAAGGCUUUACAUGGAAAAUUGAAUUGGCUGAUUGAGGAAAUUCUGCGAUUAUGUUAUGACUUUUGAUGAUGUGAAGAUCCCUCAUGGUGAGUAAUAGGUUCUUCAAGAGAUGUGGAAGAGAAAAGAGAAGAAGAAAAAUAGAGAGGUGAGUGAUGGCCAAUAAAGAGUGCGGAAAGAAAAAAGAGUAGAGAAAGAAGAAAAAUAUAUACGUAUGUGAUGGUCUGUAGAGAAAGAUCAGAAUGUAAAAUAGAGACUGUGGAUCAUAGUGAUCAAUUGAUGGGUGAAAUGAAUACCAGUGAAAGUAGAGAAGAUUUUUUGGCCAGUGGUUUUCUUUGCCUCAUUAGGUUCCUUUUGUGAAAUGGGUUUGCAAAAAGUUGCCAUACUUUUUUUUUAAAAUUUAUUACUAAUUUUAUUCCUUUGAUUAAAUUGAAAAAUAUAUCAUCUGUGUGAAAAGUUCAAUAAACCUCAACAAUUUCUUAAGAUCACUUUUAAACGUCGAUUUGAAUGGUUAAAGGUCCAAUCUUUUCUUUUCAUUGCUUUUUUUUUUCUUUUUUUCCCCUAGGUUUGGAAAUGACUUUUGUUUGAGUUUCAUUCAUAAAAGAGAAUUAUAACACAUUAGUAUGAAUCAUGUUUUAAUUUGAUUGGGGCUCAGUGCCUUGGGCCACUAUGGAGGGUUAAAUAGAAAUGUGAGGAAAACUAGACAUAGCCGUUGGAGUCUUGGCCAAUGGUUUGCUUUAUAUUUAGUGGUUUCAUAAUUCUUUGUGAUGUGAGUUUGCAAUAAGUUUUAUAAUUUCCUCUAUUACCUUUAGAAGAUUUUGUUACUUGCUUCAUAUAUAUAUUUUUUUCAUUUGUGUAUGUAGAUAAUGUGUAUUUUUUGUUAACAAUUGUGAAGUCUCCUAACAGUAUAUAUAAUACAGUCCUUCAAUUUCCCUUGUUGUUUGUUUAGUUGAACUUGAGGCUUAAUAUUACUAUCUUUUGCAUGUUAGGUGUUCAUAUAACAGAGGAAUACACUAUUCUUCAUUCAUAAUUAUUGUUAUGAACAAGUCUGAGAUUGUUUUUUCCAGUACAUUAAAAAAAUUCAUUUUGAAAAGAAUUCUUCAAAUUAUCAUCUUUAAAAUCCAAUAUUAAUCUCAUUCUUUUGCAAAUUUAUUCUCAUGUACAAGAGCCAAAAAUGGGCAGGAACCUUCUCUGUGAUAAAUGAUUCAACAUUUGAUACUCAAUUCAUUUGACAUUGCAUACUUUGCAUGGUUGUUUAUUUAAUGAGAUUGAAGACCUCUUAUUGAAAUGUACAUUCUUUGCAUUAUAUGGUGGCUUUUGUUGCUUUUGUCAGUUUGAAUGGGAGUGUUGUUGCUAACAACCAUUUUCACUUUUAUUGUUUCAUAUCAUUUUUAUUUCAUAAUUAUUUUUCUUUAUUUUUAAUAAAAGUAAAUUAGUAAUGUGAGAUUUAUUUCUUGUCCUUUCUCCUGAUACUAGAAGUGCAAAAGAAGCUUAUGCAGUUUCUAGAUUUUUUUUUUUAAUUGGCAAAAAUAAAAUAUAUUGAUGUCAAACAAAGGUACAAGGUGUACAAAUGAAUACGUCAGUGGAUACAAAAGGCCAAGGCUAAAGCAACAAAAAAGGGAACAAAUCCCAAUCAAAAUUGGGAGCAACAACGAAGAAGAAUCAAAACAAAGCCAAAUAACGCAAGUAGCAAAUAUUGCAAAUAAAACACCAGCAGCAAUUGAUGUUGAAAAAAUUCCCAACUCCUUGCUGCACUCAACCAAAAAAACUCCAAUGUUUAAAAGAUUCCUACAAUGCUUCCCAUAGCAUAACAGAGAACACCCAUAAUCUUGUUUCAAGACCGAACACCUAUCACUUAGGUUGUGUUGAUCAUGAAUUUAGGUAGAGAUUUGGAAAGGAAAACGAAAAUGUAGGUAAAAUGUGAAUGAAAUAUAGUUACAUUUCACCCACCUUUCUCUUUUCGUUUUCCCUUUCCCCUUUCCUUUUCAAAUCCUUAUCCAAAUCCAUGCUCCAAACACAACAUUAAGGUAUCAGGUUUGAAAAGCCGUCUUCUUCCUAUACAAAAAAAGCUCUUCUAAAAUUAAGUUGCAAAGAACCAUUAUGAUCACCUGGGUGGAGAAGAUUAGCCACAUUUCCAUUCUUAUUAUCUGAAAGUUUAUGCAACUAGGGUCUCUCAUCAAGCCAUUUGUCCAUCCAGAAAUUAAUAUUCUUGCCAUCCCCCAACUUUAGACUCAAAUUUUCCCUGAAGAGUUGGAACUUGUCAAAAAAUUUCGAUUGGAUAGAAAACACUCCUUUCAUACAUUGUAAAAGAUCUAUUUUUAGACGAAGGUUCUAACUGAUUAAUUAGAUCAUUGGAAUUAUUGUACCUGUACUUUGUAGUCCGGUGUGAUCAUUAAACCUAACCUAAAACAUCACUUGCAUUCAUGCACUCAAAAUCUAUUUCAAAUAUUAAAGAAAACACUACUAUGAUAGAAUCCAACAUUGCUUCUGCUUCUUGUUAAUCUAGAACUGAUGUCGUGGAAUGACCAUCUGUGAUCCAAUUUAGUGAAUGCAAGUUGCUAAAAACAUCUAAUAGCAAACUAGACCUUAUUACCAAAAGCUAAUUAUCAAAUAUGAAAGGCUUAAAAAACUAAGCUUGUGGGUUUGGUCUAGCUUUUAGGUGUGAAAUUCCCUCGCUAUGUAAUUUGCACCAUCUUGCUGAUUAAUUUUCUCUUUGAAUUUUGAAUGAUUUAAUUUGCAUGCAUGCGCUAUGUUUGAGCUUCAUAAAACACAAUGAUUUGAAUCUAACCCUCGUAAGAAUUUGCUUGUAGGUAUGUUCUCUAUUUCCUUCUUUUCAAGUAGAUGAUUAGCUACUUAUCUUAUCUCCAAUCCAUGCAAAUAAGGAUGUUUGAUAAUAGUUAUUAUGGUCUACCGUUGUAUUGCUUUUUUAUUUUAGUUUUUCCCCAUUAAACUAUUAAAUAAGAAGGGCUGAUAACCUUUCUAUUAUUGUUUUUAAUUUUUUUUUUAUGCUUUAAGCAAGUAGAAUAAAAGUUUUGCAAACAAAUCAUGUUUGAUCAUUCACAUGAUCCUGAUCUAUUUGGUAUACAUUUAGAUUGAAGGAGUUGAUGGGAUCUAAAAGGUAGUAUUUGAUUUGAAAUGCUAAAUUAUGAAAACUAGAUAUUUCUUUCUAACAAAUAUAAUGCAGAGCAACUUUGGCUGAGAAUUUAAUAGAAAAUUCAGCUCAUGGAGGAGAUGAUAUGGUAGGUCUCACAGCAUUACAUACAAGCAUGGUUUGGCUCAUCUUACUCAUAAUAUACCAAGUAAAAGUGGGUUUACAAUUGAUGAGGGAUUUCAAGUCCUGCCAUUAAGGAUGAUUGAGUACUUGUUCAUUUGUCAAAUAGAGAAAACAAUUGCUUUAUUUUUAUUACAUCAUAUUUUUAGGAAUGACAAUUUUGUUAGGAAAAUAGAUCUUGUAAUAGGUUUUUUUAUUUUUUAUUUUUGUAUAAGUAAUAGUAUUUGUUAAAAACUUUGUAUUGUUGAGUCAA